rnacentral:sRNA from 1 species
UUUUCAAAAGGCUAGCUAAGGAGAAAACCAUGGGAGCAGAAGUUGGUGAUAUGCCGGCGGAGCAAGCUUUAGAUGGAGGAUCGACGGAAGCUUAGUUAAUAGAAUGAGAUUUAUAUUUUUAGUCUCUAUUUUAAGCUCGAACUGUAUUUAGUUUGAAUUAUGAGUGAGGGUUUGUAUAAUAAUGAGGAAAACUAUUAUUCCUCCUCCUAUCAACUGUUCUAUUGUAUCAAUGAUGUAAGAACUCUAUUAUAGUUUAAUGCUAUAAUAAUUGGGAUGUUACACCUG